GACGAACGCUGGCGGCGUGCUUAACACAUGCAAGUCGAACGAAGUGGCGAACGGGUGAGUAACGCGUAAUCAACCUGCCCUUCUGAGGGGGACAACAGUUGGACACGACUGCUAAUACCGCAUAUUGAAGGAGGGGAUUGCGUCUGAUUAGCUAGGUGGAGGGGUAACGGCCCACCAAGGCGUUGAUCAGUAGGCGGGCUGAGAGGAUGAACGGCCAAAUUGGGACUGAGACACGGCCCAGACGCCUACGGGAGGCAGCAGUAGGGAAUCUUCGGCAAUGGGGGGAACCCUGACCGAGCAACGCCGCGUGAGUGAAGAAGGUUUUCGAAUCGUAAAGCUCUGUUGUUAAGGAAGCGGUACUUAACCAGAAAGGGACGGCUAACUACGUGCCAGCAGCCGCGGUAAUAC
rnacentral:rRNA from 1 species